ACGUAGGGAGCAAGCGUUGUCCGGAUUUACUGGGUGUAAAGGGUGCGUAGGCGGCUUAGCAAGUCAGGCGUGAAAACUAUGGGCUUAACCCAUAGACUGCGUUUGAAACUGUUGAGCUUGAGUGAAGUAGAGGUAGGCGGAAUUCCCGGUGUAGCGGUGAAAUGCGUAGAGAUCGGGAGGAACACCAGUGGCGAAGGCGGCCUACUGGGCUUUAACUGACGCUGAGGCACGAAAGCAUGGGUAGCAAACAG
rnacentral:rRNA from 1 species